rnacentral:rRNA from 1 species
CCUACGGGUGGCAGCAGUGGGGAAUAUUGGACAAUGGGCGAAAGCCUGAUCCAGCCAUGCCGCGUGUGUGAAGAAGGCCUUCGGGUUGUAAAGCACUUUCAGUGGGGAAGAAAGCCUUGGGGCUAAUACCCUCGAGGAAGGACAUCACCCACAGAAGAAGCACCGGCUAACUCCGUGCCAGCAGCCGCGGUAAUACGGAGGGUGCGAGCGUUAAUCGGAAUUACUGGGCGUAAAGCGCGCGUAGGCGGUCUGAUAAGCCGGUUGUGAAAGCCCCGGGCUCAACCUGGGAACGGCAUCCGGAACUGUCAGGCUAGAGUGCAGGGGAGGAAGGUAGAAUUCCCGGUGUAGCGGUGAAAUGCGUAGAGAUCGGGAGGAAUACCAGUGGCGAAGGCGGCCUUCUGGACUGACACUGACGCUGAGGUGCGAAAGCGUGGGUAGCAAACAGGAUUAGAUACCCGAGUAGUC